rnacentral:rRNA from 1 species
CUGCGAAUGGCUCAUUAAAUCAGUUAUCGUUUAUUUGAUAGUACCUUACUACUUGGAUAACCGUGGUAAUUCUAGAGCUAAUACAUGCUGAAAACCCCGACUUCGGGAGGGGUGUAUUUAUUAGAUAAAAAACCAAUGCCCUUCGGGGCUCCUUGGUGAUCCAUAAUAACUUCUCAGAUCGCAUGGCCUUGCGCCGGCGACGGUUCAUUCAAAUUUCUGCCCUAUCAACUUUCGAUGGUAAGGUAUUGGCUUACCAUGGUUUCAACGGGUAACGGGGAAUUAGGGUUCGAUUCCGGAGAAGGAGCCUGAGAAACGGCUCCUACAUCCAAGGAAGGCAGCAGGCGCGCAAAUUACCCAAUCCCGACACGGGGAGGUAGUGACAAUAAAUACUGAUACAGGGCUCUUUUGGGUCUUGUAAUUGGAAUGAGUACAAUUUAAACCUCUUAACGAGGAACAAUUGGAGGGCAAGUCUGGUGCCAGCAGCCGCGGUAAUUCCAGCUCCAAUAGCGUAUAUUAAAGUUGUUGCAGUUAAAAAGCUCGUAGUUGAACCUUUGGCCUGGCUGGCAGGUCCGCCUCACCGCGUGUACUUGUCCGGCCGGGCCUUUUCUUCUGGAGAACCGCAUGCCCUUCACUGGGUGUGUUGGGGACCAGGACUUUUACUUUGAAAAAAUUAGAGUGUUCAAAGCAGGCCUUUGCUCGAAUACGUUAGCAUGGAAUAAUAGAAUAGGACGUGCGGUCCUAUUUUGUUGGUUUCUAGGACCGCCGUAAUGAUUAAUAGGACAGUCGGGGGCAUCAGUAUUCAAUUGUCAGAGGUGAAAUUCUUGGAUUUAUUGAAGACUAACUACUGCGAAAGCAUUUGCCAAGGAUGUUUUCAUUAAUCAGUGAACGAAAGUUAGGGGAUCGAAGACGAUCAGAUACCGUCGUAGUCUUAACCAUAAACUAUGCCGACUAGGGAUCGGGCGGUGUUUCAAUUUUGACCCGCUCGGCACCUUACGAGAAAUCAAAG